GACGAACGCUGGCGGCGUGCUUAACACAUGCAAGUCGAACGAAGUGGCGAACGGGUGAGUAACGCGUAAUCAACCUGCCCUUCAGAGGGGGACAACAGUUGGAAACGACUGCUAAUACCGCAUACUGAAGGAGGGGCUUGCGUCUGCUUGGCAAGUUGGAGGGGUAACGGCCUACCAAGGCGAUGAUCAGUAGCCGGUCUGAGAGGAUUAACGGCCACAUUUGGACUGGGACCCGGCCCAGACUCCUACGGGGGGCAGCAUGGGGGAAUCUUUCGCAAUGGACGAAAGUCUUACGGAGCAACGCCGCGUGGUUGAUGACGGCCUUCGGGUUGUAAAGCUCUGUUAAGCGGGACGCGGUACCGGAAUAGAAAGCCACGGCUAACUACGUGCCAGCAGCCGCGGUAAUAC
rnacentral:rRNA from 1 species